rfam:Oryza glaberrima chromosome 2 Oglab02_0341_14, whole genome shotgun sequence.
AAUAAGUGCAGUUUUACACUAUUCACGUUCAACGUUUGACCGUUCGUCUUAUUUGAAAAUUUUUUAUAAUUAGUAUUUUUAUUGCUAUUAGAUGAUAAAACAUGAAUAGUACUUUAUGUGAGACUAAGUAUUUUCAAAUUUUUCAUAAAUUUUUCAAAUAAAAUGGACGGUCAAACGUUGGGCACGGAUAUCCACGGCUGCACUUAUU